GAGUUUGAUUCAUGGCUCAAGAUGAACGCUAGCGGGAGGCCUAACACAUGCAAGCCGAGCGGUAGAGAUCUUUCGGGAUCUUGAGAGCGGCGUACGGGUGCGGAACACGUGUGCAACCUGCCUUUAUCUGGGGGAUAGCCUUUCGAAAGGAAGAUUAAUACCCCAUAAUAUGUUGGAUGGCAUCAUUCGACAUUGAAAACUCCGGUGGAUAGAGAUGGGCACGCGCAAGAUUAGAUAGUUGGUGAGGUAACGGCUCACCAAGUCUGCGAUCUUUAGGGGGCCUGAGAGGGUGAUCCCCCACACUGGUACUGAGACACGGACCAGACUCCUACGGGAGGCAGCAGUGAGGAAUAUUGGACAAUGGGUGAGAGCCUGAUCCAGCCAUCCCGCGUGAAGGACGACGGCCCUAUGGGUUGUAAACUUCUUUUGUAUAGGGAUAACCUACUCUCGUGAGAGUAGCGAA
rnacentral:rRNA from 1 species